rnacentral:rRNA from 1 species
GGGGAAUUUUGCGCAAUGGGCGAAAGCCUGACGCGGCAACGCCGCGUGAGUGAUGAAGGCCUUCGGGUCGUAAAGCUCUGUCAGAGGGGAAGAACCACCUGAAGGUUAAUAUCCUUCAGGCCUGACGGUACCCUCAAAGGAAGCACCGGCUAACUCCGUGCCAGCAGCCGCGGUAAUACGGAGGGUGCAAGCGUUGUUCGGAAUUAUUGGGCGUAAAGCGCGUGUAGGCGGUCUGUUAAGUCUGAUGUGAAAGCCCCGGGCUCAACCCGGGAAGUGCAUUGGAAACUGGCAGACUUGAGUACGGGAGAGGGUAGUGGAAUUCCGAGUGUAGGGGUGAAAUCCGUAGAUAUUCGGAGGAACACCGGUGGCGAAGGCGGCUACCUGGGCCAGUACUGACGCUGAGGUGCGAAAGCGUGGGGAGCAA